rnacentral:rRNA from 1 species
UACGGGGGGGGCAAGCGUUGUUCGGAAUUACUGGGCGUAAAGGGCUCGUAGGUGGCCAACUAAGUCGGACGUGAAAUCCCUCAGCUUAACUGGGGAACUGCGUCCGAUACUGGAUGGCUUGAGUUUGGGAGGGGGAUGCGGAAUUCCAGGUGUAGCGGUGAAAUGCGUAGAUAUCUGGAGGAACACCGGUGGCGAAGGCGGCAUCCUGGACCAACACUGACACUGAGGAGCGAAAGCCAGGGGAGCAAACGGG